CAGCAUUGUAAUCUAAGACGGUAUAAAAUAGGUGUGGCCAAAAGUCUUGCAUACCAAGCUGUUUGAUUAUCUGAAACUGUGUUCUUACAAUGAGUAUGAGGAUGAAAAUCUGUGUUUGGCUACACUUACUUUUGAUAGAAUCAUGAAGAAUAUAGAUAGCGGAGCAAGAGGAUAGAGUUACAUUUGACUGCUCAACUAGAAUGAAAAACAGGGAACCGUCAUUUUUAACCUCUUGUAGAGCGCAUGGGAGACCAGAUUCUAAAGUCAAGUAAAUCGUCUUGUCAAUAUAUUUAUACUAGCAGACAUUUUGUGUUAAGACAGAAAUUAAAA